rnacentral:rRNA from 1 species
GACCCGUCUUGAAACACGGACCAAGGAGUCUAGCAUGUGCGCGAGUCGUUGGGAUAUAAUUAAACCUAAAGGCGUAAUGAAAGUGAAAGCCCGCUUCGCGCGGACCUAGGGAGGAUGAGCGAUCGCGUCGGCGAUGCGUCGUCGGCGUCCGAUCGCUCCGCACUCCCGGGGCGUCUAUUUCUCAUUGCGAGAAGAGGCGCACCAAGAGCGUACACGCUGGGACCCGAAAGAUGGUGAACUAUGCCUGGUCAGGACGAAGUCAGGGGAAACCCUGAUGGAGGUCCGUAGCGAUUCUGACGUGCAAAUCGAUCGUCGGAACUGGGUAUAGGGGCGAAAGACUAAUCGAACCAUCUAGUAGCUGGUUCCCUCCGAAGUUUCCCUCAGGAUAGCUGGCGCUCGCUACGUGCGAGUCUCAUCCGGUAAAGCGAAUGAUUAGAGGCAUUGGGGUCGAAACGGCCUCAACCUAUUCUCAAACUUUAAAUGGGUGAGAUCUCCGGCUUGCUUGAACUAUUUUAUGUGAAGCCGCGAGAUUUCGGAUCAGAGUGCCAAGUGGGCCAUUUUUGGUAAGCAGAACUGGCGCUGUGGGAUGAACCAAACGCGGAGUUAAAGCGCCUAAAUCGACGCUUAUGGGAUACCAUGAAAGGCGUUGGUAACUUAAGACAGCAGGACGGUGGCCAUGGAAGUCGGAAUCCGCUAAGGAGUGUGUAA